GACGAACGCUGGCGGCGUGCUUAACACAUGCAAGUCGAACGGUAAGGCCCCUUCGGGGGUACACGAGUGGCGAACGGGUGAGUAACACGUGAGCAACCUGCCCUUGACUCUGGAAUAAGCGCUCGAAAGGGCGUCUAAUACUGGAUAUGACUUCUGCCUGCAUGGGUGGGAGUGGAAAGCUUCGGCGGUUGAGGAUGGGCUCGCGGCCUAUCAGCUUGUUGGUGAGGUAAUGGCUCACCAAGGCUUCGACGGGUAGCCGGCCUGAGAGGGCGACCGGCCACACUGGGACUGAGAUACGGCCCAGACACCUACGGGAGGCUG
rnacentral:rRNA from 1 species